rnacentral:lncRNA from 1 species
GAUGGCAGCGUGGAACCAAGGUCUACAGUGGCUGCUGAGGUCAGACUUGAAGAAAUGACUCACAUGCAAGGCUGAUCUACAUAAGUAGCCUGUGCUAAGACUGCCAUCUGGUAGAACAAUCUACAUCACACGACUCCACGUUUCCUGUUACCCAAGGUAAGUACAUUUCAAGCAUGAGGGAAAACUUUAUCAAGUUUCUCUAAGUCCCUUUACUUCGACACUAAUUUUUUUAGUGAAAGAGUAACAGAACAGAGCCUCAGUAACAGCAGAGGAGGAAGGAGAAGAAAAUUCUACUUGCUCAUGAAGACUCAAGAUCUGCUCAGGGCAACUAGAAAAUUUAGCCCUGGUGAAGCCAAGAUAAUCUAUGGGCCACAUUCCCCUAAUCUUGUUAUUGAAAUCCUUCUAUUGCAUCAGAAAAAAAGUUAUUUAUCAGUUGACUGUAAGAGGAAUUAUUGCAUAGUCUUUUGUAUAUGAGACCAGAGAGAACGUGCAGAGAUUGUAUUUUACAUUGUAUCUGAAACACAGAUGCUCUGCUCAUAAACAUUCCUCAUGCCUUCUUCAAGCUGUCCAAGCAAAAUAUGAUUUGCUUUUAAAUUUGAAUAUCUUUAAAAAUUAACAAAUUUAAGACUGUCCUAUCUCAAUCUCCCACAUACUAGGAUGGUGGAUGUGUGCCACCUUUUCCGGCCAUGACGUAACAUGUUUAACUGAUUCCUUCUUCUUCAGCAUCUCCAUGCUCUGCAGGUGCAGCUUCGAUGGACCAUGGC